AUUGAACGCUGGCGGCAUGCCUUACACAUGCAAGUCGAACGGUAACGCGGGGCAACCUGGCGACGAGUGGCGAACGGGUGAGUAAUAUAUCGGAACGUGCCCAGUAGUGGGGGAUAGCCCGGCGAAAGCCGGAUUAAUACCGCAUACGACCUACGGGUGAAAGCGGGGGGAUCGCAAAGACCUCGCGCUAUUGGAGCGGCCGAUAUCAGAUUAGGUAGUUGGUGGGGUAAAGGCCUACCAAGCCUACGAUCUGUAGCUGGUCUGAGAGGACGACCAGCCACACUGGGACUGAGACACGGCCCAGACUCCUACGGGAGGC
rnacentral:rRNA from 1 species